rnacentral:rRNA from 1 species
GAUGAACGCUGGCGGCGUGCCUAAUACAUGCAAGUCGAGCGAAUGGAUUAAGAGCUUGCUCUUAUGAAGUUAGCGGCGGACGGGUGAGUAACACGUGGGUAACCUGCCCAUAAGACUGGGAUAGCUCCGGGAAACCGGGGCUAAUACCGGAUAACAUUUUGAACCGCAUGGUUCGAAAUUGAAAGGCGGCUUCGGCUGUCACUUAUGGAUGGACCCGCGUCGCAUUAGCUAGUUGGUGAGGUAACGGCUCACCAAGGCAACGAUGCGUAGCCGAUCUGAGAGGGUGAUCGGCCACACUGGGACUGAGACACGGCCCAGACUCCUACGGGAGGCAGCAGUAGGGAAUCUUCCGCAAUGGACGAAAGUCUGACGGAGCAACGCCGCGUGAGUGAUGAAGGCUUUCGAGUCGUAAAACUCUGUUGUUAGGGAAGAACAAGUGCUAGUUGAAUAAGCUGACACCUUGACGGUACCUAACCAGAAAGCCACGGCUAACUACGUGCCAGCAGCCGCCGUAA